CAAAAAAUAGUUUAAAGAUGAUGAAUAUUAAUUUUGGAGAUUAAAGGUAUAAUAAUUAUUUAUUAUUUUUUUGA
rnacentral:tRNA from 1 species